rnacentral:rRNA from 2 species
AUAAGGUUAAGUUAAUAAGGGCGCACGGUGGAUGCCUUGGCACUAGAAGCCGAAGAAGGACGUGACUAACGACGAAAUGCUUUGGGGAGCUGUAAGUAAGCGCUGAUCCAGAGAUGUCCGAAUGGGGGAACCCACUAGUUAAUGACUAGUAUCCAUAUCUGUUAAGGAUAUGAGAAGGAAGACGCAGUGAACUGAAACAUCUAAGUAGCUGCAGGAAGAGAAAGCAAAAGCGAUUGCCUUAGUAGCGGCGAGCGAAACGGCAGGAGGGCAAACCGAAG